CGACGUGGAUAACCUGCCUCACACAGGGGGAUAACAGUUAGAAAUGACUGCUAGUACCGCAUAAGCGCACGGCAUCGCAUGAUGCAGUGUGAAAAACUCCGGUGGUGUGAGAUGGAUCCGCGUCUGAUUAGGUAGUUGGUGGGGUAACGGCCCACCAAGCCGACGAUCAGUAGCCGACCUGAGAGGGUGACCGGCCACAUUGGGACUGAGACACGGCCCAA
rnacentral:rRNA from 1 species